UUAACUAUUAUAUAGUACUCAGACGACACCAAUAUUCAGAGUUUAGGGGUCCUUUGGCGGGCACUUACCAGCCAGAGCCGGUAGCCGAAGCGGCCCGCCAAAGCAACAAUGGUAUAGUAUUCAAGGGUGGGAGAUCUACCCGUGAGGGCAUGAACUCUGUAAUGAUCCUUCCGCAGGUUCACCUACGGAAA
rnacentral:misc_RNA from 1 species